rnacentral:lncRNA from 1 species
GAAACAAAAUACUGGUAAAGAAAAAGCUAUCUAUUCUAGUGGAUAGAAAUCUGGAGAAAUAUCACAAAUGUUCUGAGCCCCAGACCUACUGAGACUUUUGCAGGAAGCAUUACCUCUAUCCUACCUGGCAGACAAAACACUGCCUGCCCUUUUUUGCUAGAUAAUUCUAAGUGAGGAAGCCUGUGGACUUACUAAAUGACCUAUAUGAUCUGCGAGGAGUAAAACACAACCAUUCUGAAGGGAAACAUACCCGGAACCAUAAGAGUCUUUCACUAGGACCAGGCAACGUCUGGAUUUGUAAACACGCUCCAACAAGAAGCAGGCUGCACAAGCUUUGUAGAUCACAAGGAGCAUUAACUCUCCCAUGACCUUCAGAUGUGGCCAUAGGGGCUGAUGGACAAAGAAUUACCCCCUAGAGCUAGGAGCAAUGGAUACCAGGGAGUUUUCCAUAGAAAGCUGAACCAGAGACUUGCUCCAUAACCAGGACAGGGAUCUUCACAAUCUCUGACCAGAAGGAUUUGCUUACCACUGUGGAAACAAUGACUGUCAUGUUUCUUCUCUUCUUUUUUUGGUGCCAAAUCUAUCACCAUUGGCGGAGAAAAAGAACCUUCUCUUAGACUGUAGGUGAUCUGACCCCAGGAGCCACACUUGGAGAUAACUACCCAUCACCAAGAGAUCCUGGAAUUUCAACCUGAUGAUAUAACUGGAUGGGACUUUGGGAGUAUCUCCUGUGGGAAAAAGGAAAGAAUUUCGUUUGGCAGGUCAAGUGUAGUUGGAUAUUUAUGGGUGGCUAAAGGGGCAGUCUGUGGAAGAGACUUCUUGUUAUUUCUUCCCAACAUCCAUUCCUUUCUUCUCCUAUUAUGAGAGAUAUUUUGAAUUUUUGACAAAUCCCAGUCUCCCUUGCAUCUAGAUGUGGCCAUGAGACUAAGUUUUGGCCAAAGGGGUAUAAAUGAUAUUGUUGUACACAACUUUAGGCUUGUGACCUUAAAGUGAAACAGGUGUGCCCUACACUGCCCAUUUUUUCGACCUUGUUUUAACUGUGGAUGAUGUGGAUGAGGUGGUGAGCUACUAUGGACCAUGAGAAUCAGUGGAGCAUACUAGAGAUGGUGCAACAAUAAGAGAAGGAGCCUGGGUCCCUGAAUGACCUCAUGGGGUAGAUGUCCUAAGCUAGUAUCACACUAUUUACUCCCAGACUGGUGGAGAAGAGAGAAAUAAUUUCUGGCGAAUUCAAAACACUGUUAUUUUGGAGCCCUGUUACAUGCACCUUGACCUAUAUUCCAAAUUAGAUAAGUAAGAUAGGUAAGAUAUCUUAAUGCACUUUGGCAUGCUAUCAUUCCCAAAUACAUGGGAAUUAAAUUUUUUUGGUAUAAAUUUACACUGAGAAACAAAAGUAUCUAAAACUAAAAGUAUUAUUU